UGCCGGCAACACAUUUUCACAGCACCGCCGCACCCCCAUCCCGAAACAUAUUUCCAUGACUAUGAUCACAGGUUUCACUUUUUAUGGCUUCACUGUCCAUCUCCGACUCCAAAUGAGAAGAGUCCGCUUAUACUCGAGUCAGAAACAGCCAUCCCCGCUACAAGAGCCAACAGCGACGUGAGACAAGCUUUGCCGGUGAUACCCAGGGUCCCGGGAGUUGCCCUUGAUGCAGUAGUCCCAGCCUCCAGACCAGGGAAGGUAACGCUGGUGUCGGUGGAGUUGAGCUUCACCCUGCUUUCUGAGCCCUCCAUGAUGAUGCUGAUUGUGUACAGGACAGCGUGGACCACUGGCUCCCACCCCACCACGAUGGUGUCAUUGCUGGGUGAGGUGGAGUUGAGCUCUGGCGCUGCAACCGCUGUAGGAGAGAGACAGCAAAGAUACAUCUUAUUUGAGGUGUGUAUUUGUUUUACUGUGUUGGGGUGUUUAUGGUUUACAUUCUAAUUGUAUGAUAGCCUACUUAUCACUUUCAAUUAAAAAAGUGUACUAUUUUCUGUUCUGUGUACUUUCAUAUAACAAAACUGUAAAGUGCAUGUUUUAUUUUGGGUGGGAUGGUACUGUGCGAGUGUAAUUACAAUAUACUACAUGACUGAGAUCUGAGACUGACCCUCUUCAUCUCUUCUGCCUCUAAAGAACAUCAAACCACUAAACCACAAUGGAUGAAACUGCUGCUGUAUUGUUUUGGUACAUGAAGAAACCCGAUAGGCUGACUAACUCAGUGCUCAACCCAGUUAAGUUUAUUAUUUGUGUUCAUGGAGAGGGGUCAGAUAUAAUUACCCCGGAUACAGGAUAGAUAACUUUCACCCUUAGGGCUUUAAGAUCAGGUAUGCAGCUACUCCCCUUUCUUAGCUUUCGUUUGUUCUUUCUUUCCCCAACAGUCAGUUAAUGUGAGGUCCAAGGGACAAUACCUGUCUUUGCUACUGAAGGGAGGGAAGGCUGGCUCCUGCCUCCGUGGAUGACGGAUAUGACAUUGAGAGUGUAGUCGGUGUACACCUAGAGGUUGAGCAUGGUCCCGGGGGAAGAGGACACCUCGGUCUCGGAGAAGGACAGGUCGGUGUUUUCAGCCCGCAGGAUGUAGUAGGAGGCUCCUGUCACAUUCUGACCUUGGUUCUUUUGUUAUGUCUGUGUUUUAGUAUGGUCAGGGCGUGAAUUGGGUGGGUUGGCUAUGUUCCUUUUUCUAUGAUUUGGGAUUUCUGUGUUUGGCCUGGUAUGGUUCUCAAUCAGAGGCAGCUGUCAAUCGUUGUCCCUGAUUGAGAACCAUACUUAGGUAGCCUGGUUUCACUUUUGAGUUGUGGCUGAUUGUUUCCUGUGUCUGUGUUUGUACCACACAGGACUGUUUCGGUUUUCGUUUGUUCAUUCACGUUGUUAUUUUGUAUUUUUGUAGUUUUCAGUUUUAUAUAUUAAAAUGGACACUUACCACGCUGCAUAUUGGUCCUCCGAUCCUUCCUACUACUCCUCUUCGUCAGAAGAGUGACGGGCGAUUCUGGCAGCUCCUGGCUGAUGGACGGCUCUGGCAGCUCCUCUUCGUCAGAGGACAAUCGUUAUAGCUCCUGUCACCUGAGUGAACUCCACAGCUCUCACUCUGCUUUCAUGUUGCCAUGUUUGUAGGGGGCACCUCAGAAGCUACAGAAAAAAGGGUGGGAUUAUUAAGACUCAAUUCAGGAGCUACACACAUGCAAAUGUAAUGAGUGUAACCAGUUCCACCACAAUAAUGUUUUCAUACAGGAAAAUCAUAUUUUUCACUGUAAGCCUACUGUCAAGAUAUACUGUACACUGAAUGUACAAAAAAUGAUGAACACCUGCUCUCUCCAUGACAUAGACUGACCAGGUGAAUCAAGGUGAAAGCUAUGAUACCUUAUUGAGGUCACUUGUUAAAUCCACUUGUCACUUCUUAAAUGUAGAUGAAGAGGAGGAAACAGGUUAAAGAAGGAUUUUUAACCUUGAGACAAUUGAGACAUGGAUUGUGUAUGUGUGUCAUUCAGAGGGUGAAGAUUUAAGUGCCUUUGAACGGGGUAUGGUAGUAGGUGCCAGGCGCACCAGUUUGUGUCAAGAACUGCAAUGCUGCUGGGUUUUUCACGCUCAACAGUUUCCCGUGUGUAUCAAGAAUAGUCCACCACCCAAAGGACAUCCAGCCAACUUGACACAACUGUGGGAAGCAUUGGAGUCAACAUGGGCCAGCAUCCCUGUGGAACGCUUUCGACACCUUGUAGAGUCCAUGCCCAACAAAUUCAGGCUGUUCUGAGGGCAAGACAAUAUUAGGAAGGUGUUCUUAAUGUUUUGUACACUCAGUGUGUAUUUCUCAUGAGAGUCGCUCUAAGGACAGGUUUUCUAUCUUCCCUUAUCCCUUUCCCUUAUGAGAAAGAAAAACAGAACUGGCCCUGGAUCAGAGAUUAGUAACAGAAUGUAAUGACAUCACAACAGAAUGUAUAGCCUAUUGUUUUACCAACUUCACCUAAAGGUCUAGUAGGAGACACUGACUCAUCAAUGGUCUCUCCAACCUCAGCCUGGCUCUAAACAGUCAGGCCAUUUUCCAUCGCCUCAGCCUUAAUAAUGUACACGAUGUUGGGGGUCAGAGAGUUGAUGCAGCCCAUCACAGAGUUGGCACCGAACUGGGUAAAGGCAUCAUCAAAUAAAAUCAAAUGUAUCUAUAUAGCCCUUCGUACAUCAGCUGAUAUCUCAAAGUGCUGUACAAAAACCCAGCCUAAAACCCCAAACAGGUCAGGAUUCCAUAGCCGCAGGCAGAACAGUUGAAACUGGAGCAGCAGCACGGCCAGGUGGACUGGGAACAGCAAGGAGUCAUCAUGGCAGGUAGUCCUGAGGCAUGGUCCUAGGGCUCAGGUCCUCCGAGAGAAAGAGAGAAUUAGAGAGAGCAUACUUAAAUUCCCACAGGACAUAAGACAGGAGAAGUACUCCAGAUAUAACAAACUGACCCUAGCCCCCCGACACAUAAACUACUGCAGCAUAAAUACUGGAGGCUGAGACAGGAGGGGUCAGGAGACACUGUGGCCCCAUCCAAUGAUACCCCCGGACAGGGCCAAACAGAAAGGAUAUAACCCCACCCACUUUGCCAAAGCACAGCCCCCACACCACUAGAGGGAUAUCUUCAACCACCAACUUACCAUCCUGAGACAUCCAGGGAGUUCUUGGGGAACGCUGUGAUCUUGUAGGAACUGGUUCCUGAGUAUCUACUCCAUCACACUGUCACACUCUUAGAUGUAACCCUGAAUAUCAACACUGUGAUUUAUAUAUGAGGAGAGAUAAAUAAUUAGAGUUACUGUAUUCAUAUCUGGAUCAAAUUACAAAAUAUUAUAAACUGAGUGCUAUGAGCCCCGAAUGCUCAUUGGCUGACAGCUGUGGUAUAUCAGACCGUAUACCACGGGUAUGACAAAACAUUUAUUUUUACUGCUCUAAUUACAUUGGUAACCAGUUUAUAACGGCAAUAAGGCACCUCAGGGGUUUGUGGUAUAUGGCCAAUAUACCAUGGCUAAGGGCUGUAUAUCUAGGCACUCCGCAUUGCGUCGUGUGUAAGAACAGCCCUUAGCCGUGGUAUAUUGGCCAUAUACCACACCCCCUCGUGCCUUACUUAAUUAUAGCACUACUAGUGCAUACAUGUACUACAGUAUAUUAUAAUUUAUUUUAAUAAUCAUGAUUUUUUUUAUAACUCCACUUUCAUCCAACCGUCAUUAUAUUCUGCAGUUGAAAAAUAUAGACAGUUUAGUAAUGUACAUGUAAUGUUGCAAAAAGAUACAGUGCAUUUGGAAAGUAUUCAGACCCCUUGACUUUUUCCACAUUUUGUUACAUUACAGCCUUGUUCUGAAAUGGAUUAAAUUAAAUGUUUUCCUCAUCAAUCUACCCACAAUACUACCCAUAAUGACAAAGUGAAAACAGAUUUUUAGAAAUGUUUUUAACAUUAUAAAAAUCCAAAACAGAAAUACCUUAUCCCACAGUUGACAGAGCAUGUGAGCAAUCGGGGGAGAAGGGCCUUGGUCGAGGAGGUGACCAAGAACCAGAUGGUCACUCUGACAUGGCUCCAGAGUUCCUCUGUGGAGAUGGGAGAAUCUUCCAGAAGGACAACCAUCUCUGCAGCACUCCACCAAUCAGGCCUUUAUGAUAGAGUGGCCAGACAGAAGCCACUCCUCAGUUAAAGGCACAUGACAGGCCACUUGGAGUUUGCCAAAAGG
rnacentral:lncRNA from 13 species